GGAGUUAGCCGGUGCUUCUUCUGUGAGUGAUGUCCUUCCUGCCGGUUAUUGACCCGCAGGCCUUCUUCCUCACUGAAAGUGCUUUACAACCCGAAGGCCUUCUUCACACACGCGGCAUGGCUGGAUCAGGGUUGCCCCCAUUGUCCAAUAUUCCCCACUGCUGCCUCCCGUAGGAGUCUGGGCCGUGUCUCAGUCCCAGUGUGGCUGAUCAUCCUCUCAGACCAGCUACGGAUCGUCGCCUUGGUGAGCCGUUACCUCACCAACCAGCUAAUCCGACAUAGGCUCAUCCGAUAGCGCGAGGCCCGAAGGUCCCCCGCUUUCCCCCGUAGGGCGUAUGCGGUAUUAGCCUGGGUUUCCCCAGGUUAUCCCCCACUACCGGGCAGAUUCCUAUGCAUUACUCACCCGUCCGCCGCUCGCCACCAGGGAGCAAGCUCCCCGUGCUGCCGCUCGACUUGCAUGUGUAGCUCGCCGCCACGCGUCAUCUGAGCCAUGAUACAACUACUCGA
rnacentral:rRNA from 1 species